rnacentral:tRNA from 2 species
GGGCCGCUAGCUCAGUUGGUAGAGCAACUGACUCUUAAUCAGUGGGUCGGGGGUUCGACUCCCCCGCGGCCCACCA